AUGAACGCUGGCGGCGUGCCUAAUACAUGCAAGUCGAGCGAACGGACGAGAAGCUUGCUUCUCUGAUGUUAGCGGCGGACGGGUGAGUAACACGUGGAUAACCUACCUAUAAGACUGGGAUAACUUCGGGAAACCGGAGCUAAUACCGGAUAAUAUUUUGAACCGCAUGGUUCAAAAGUGAAAGACGGUCUUGCUGUCACAUAUAGAUGGAUCCGCGCUGCAUUAGCUAGUUGGUAAGGUAACGGCUUACCAAGGCAACGAUGCAUAGCCGACCUGAGAGGGUGAUCGGCCACACUGGAACUGAGACACGGUCCAGACUCCUACGGGAGGCAGCAGUAGGGAAUCUUCCGCAAUGGGCGAAAGCCUGAUGGAGCAACGCCGCGUGAGUGAUGAAGGUCUUCGGAUCGUAAAACUCUGUUAUUAGGGAAGAACAUAUGUGUAAGUAACUGUGCACAUCUUGACGGUACCUAAUCAGAAAGCCACGGCUAACUACGUG
rnacentral:rRNA from 1 species